GGUCUAGUGGCCGAAUGGCAAGGCGUUUGGCUUGAAACCAGAAGAUUGUAGGUUCGACCCCUGCCUAGACCA